AUGAUUCAAUAUUGGUUGUUAGAUCAAAUCAAAACCAAAAUGAGAUAUCACUUCACACCCACUAGGAUAGCUUUAAAGAAAAAAUAAAUGACAACUAUGUGGAGAAAUAGGAGCCCUCGUGCAUUACUGGUGACAAUGUAGAAUGGUGCAGCAACUAUAGAAAACGUUUGGCGGUUUCUUUAAAAAUUAAACAGAAUUACCAUAUGACCCAGCAAAUUCCACUCCUAGAUAUAUAGCAUUAUUCAUAAUCAAAAGGUGGAAACAGCCCCGGCCGGUUUGCUCAGUGCUAGUGUCAGCCUCAGACUGAAGUGUCAUGGUGGAUGAACGGAUAAACAAAUUGUGGGAUAUACAUUUAAUGGAAUAUUGGCCAUAUAAGGGAUGAAGUGUCCACACAAUAUCAUUUGGAUGAACCUC